rnacentral:rRNA from 1 species
GAUGAACGCUAGCUACAGGCUUAACACAUGCAAGUCGAGGGGCAGCACGAUUGAAGCUUGCUUCAAUUGGUGGCGACCGGCGCACGGGUGCGUAACGCGUAUGUAACCUACCUUAACAGGGGGAUAACACUGAGAAAUUGGUACUAAUACCCCAUAAUACUUUGAAAGGCAUCUUUUGAAGUUGAAAGUUCCGGCGGUUAGAGAUGGGCAUGCGUUGUAUUAGCUAGAUGGUGAGGUAACGGCUCACCAUGGCGACGAUACAUAGGGGGACUGAGAGGUUAACCCCCCACAUUGGUACUGAGACACGGACCAAACUCCUACGGGAGGCAGCAGUGAGGAAUAUUGGUCAAUGGACGGAAGUCUGAACCAGCCAAGUCGCGUGAAGGAUGAAGGUUCUAUGGAUUGUAAACUUCUUUUGUCUGAGGUAAAAAGGCCACGUGUGGCUUCUUGCAAGUAUCAGACGAAUAAGCAUCGGCUAACUCCGUG